GCCGCGUGUAUGAUGAAGGCCUUCGGGUUGUAAGCUCUGUCAGAGGGGAAGAAGUGCAUGGGUGCUAAUACCAUCUUUACUUGACGGUACCCUCAAAGGAAGCCCCGGCUAACUCCGUGCCAGCAGCCGCGGUAAUA
rnacentral:rRNA from 1 species